GUUGUGCCUUUUGCAGAAUCCUUUCCCGUCGAUCACCCUCCAUUCAUUAAAAGGAGCAACAAUGUUCCUGUGGCUAAAUUUGGUGUCCUUUCUAGCAGUCCUCAGAGGUGUUCGACUUCAAGUACAGUUGGUGGAGUCCAGAGGGGAUGUGAGAAGACCUGGAGAGUCCCUCCGUCUCACCUGCCAAGGUUCCGGAUUCACUUUCAGUGAUGCCUACAUGCACUGGUUGAGACAGGCCCCUGGGAAAGGCCUGGAAUGGGUGGCCUACAUAAACAAAGCUUCCAGUACUAUUUACUACUCAGACAAAGUGAAGGGCCGCUUCACCGUCUCCAGGGACAAUGCCAAAAGCCAGCUGUAUCUGCAAAUGAACGGCCUCAAAGUUGAAGACACAUCAGUCUAUUACUGUGCCAGAGAGACACAGUGA